AGGACGAACGCUGGCGGCGUGCUUAACACAUGCAAGUCGAACGAGGCGCUUGCGCCUAGUGGCGAACGGGUGAGUAACACGUGAGCAACCUGCCCUUGGCUCUGGGAUAGCCUCCGGAAACGGGGAUUAAUACCGGACAUGACCUUCUCCUGCAUGGGGGAGGGUGGAAAGUUUUUCGGCCAGGGAGGGCUCGCGGCCUAUCAGCUUGUUGGGGGGGUAACGGCCCACCAAGGCGACGACGGGUAGCCGGCCUGAGAGGGCGACCGGCCACACUGGGACUGAGACACGGCCCAGACUCCUACGGGAGGCAGCAGUGGGGAAUAUUGCACAAUGGGGGAAACCCUGAUGCAGCGACGCCGCGUGCGGGAUGAAGGCCUUCGGGUUGUAAACCGCUUUCAGCAGGGGCGAAUUCAGACGGUACCUGCAGAAGAAGCGCCGGCUAACUACGCGCCAGCAGCCGC
rnacentral:rRNA from 1 species